AUUGAACGCUGGCGGCAUGCCUUACACAUGCAAGUCGAACGGCAGCAUGAUCUAGCUUGCUAGAUUGAUGGCGAGUGGCGAACGGGUGAGUAAUACAUCGGAACGUGCCCUGUAGUGGGGGAUAACUAGUCGAAAGAUUAGCUAAUACCGCAUACGACCUGAGGGUGAAAGUGGGGGACCGCAAGGCCUCAUGCUAUAGGAGCGGCCGAUGUCUGAUUAGCUAGUUGGUGAGGUAAAGGCUCACCAAGGCGGCGAUCAGUAGCUGGUCUGAGAGGACGAUCAGCCACACUGGGACUGAGACACGGCCCAGACUCCUACGGGAGGCAGCAGUGGGGAAUUUUGGACAAUGGGCGAAAGCCUGAUCCAGCAAUGCCGCGUGUGUGAAGAAGGCCUUCGGGUUGUAAAGCACUUUUGUCCGGAAAGAAAUGGCUCUGGUUAAUACCUGGGGUCGAUGACGGUACCGGAAGAAUAAGGACCGGCUAACUACGUG
rnacentral:rRNA from 1 species